UUUUCUUUCUUAAGGCUUUGGUUUCUCCACAGUUUAAAAGACAAAAGGGGUUAACCACUGGGCUAUCUCUUCGGCCCGUGAACACCAAUUUUUAUGAGAGUAGUUACUACUCUCCCUGUGCUGUUGAUACUAGCUGAGGAGCAAUACCUGCUUGGCUUGGUAAAAGCUCUUCAGAGAACUUAGAAAGUAGGUUGAGUAUUCCUCUACCAUAGUGGGAAGAUGAAGUAUUUUAUUCCAGUCAAUUAAAUGGGUGCAGUCAAGAAACUAGAAGGUAUAAAAUGGAUUUAAUAAGCAGGAUAUUAAAAUCAGUCUGUCAUAUUAGAAGGAAUUUAAAGUGCAAUAAGACCUCCAGUCUCUUGGAUAAUUUUUGUGAAACAUAUAAUGACAGUUUUAUUCCAUUUUGAAUUUGAAACAUCAAUGCUGUGAUUUUUCUUUACUAGAAUCAUUCAGCAGAAAUAUAGUACAUAUAUUUAGCUAAAAUUUUCAAGUAGCCACAUUAAAGCAUAUAAAGACAUGGGUAGACUGAAUACUAACAAUUAACUUAGUUUAGGCAGAAUAUGAGUUUGAAUAACUAGUGUAGAAAUUCCUAAUGAAUUAUUUUAUGUGCUUUGUGUGUGUGUGUACUAAGUAUUCAAAACUCAGGAUGUCUUAUACAUAGAAUAAAUCAACAGACUAGCGAUCUUUCCAAGCUCAGUAGACACAUGUGGCUAGUCCUUACUGGGACAGCUUAGCCCUAGGCUGCUCUGCAGUAUUGGUUUAAUUAGAUCUGACGGCUCAUCCUGGGAUUACACUGUGCUGUGCAUUAUGUCCUAUAUAAUUCAGUUAAUAUUUCUAAUAAUAUGAUAAAAGUUUUGCUAUCAAUUUACAGAUACAAAUAGUAAGAUAAGCAGGUAUUCUCUACAAGAAUGGAUUUACAACUCUUUUGAUUGAAACCCUUCUGUUUGCUACAUGACAGUGUUUUGAAUAUAGCCACGCAGAGAUAGGACAGGCCGGUGGGUCCUUGACUCUUGCUUCUUAUUUUAAGGCACCACACACCUCUUAGCUUGUAAUGACAGUAGUCCUGGCAGCUGCUCUCAUAGUCUUGCUUUCCCACUUCCAAUUUAAACUGCUUUCUAUUGCUCUUGAAUGAGAGGUGUUCUGUCUGGCAGUUGGCUGUAGUGAGAGGGGGAAGGGAAGGUCAGCUCCUGUUGGGAAGAGAAACAGGGAGGAGUAAAGCUUGUGUCUAUCAGGCAAAGUUUUGUUUUGUUUUGUUUUGUUUUAACUUUGUCAGCGUUUGAGAUUUCUGGGGAGCCCUUACUCAACAUGUUUGAGUUAUACACAUUUUAUAUCAGUUUAUUGUAUGUUAUAUAGUAGAUUUAUACUUAACAGCAUCUCCAAUUUAAGUUGAAUAAUUCCUCGAAUUAGAUUCCUGUUUGUAAAGACUUUACUCACCACAGCAACCUUCUUUGUUCAAAGAGGGAGAACAGGCAGCUCUCCGUUUUGAACUGAUCAGAGUCACGGGUGAUGUGGAUACGCAUCUUUAAACUUGCAGUGCCCCUUUACCAUGGCUGGAACUACAGUUUACCAUCAGGGCGCUUGUUUGGUCAGUCUCCAGCAGGCCAGACAAAACGGGGGUGGGGUGGGAUAGGGUGGGGGGUCGGCAACUGUAUUCUUGUAGCCUAUAAGACCACAGCUUGCUUGCUUUGCUUUGCUUCGUUUUCAUUCUUCCUCCUUUUCCUUCUUGUUUGUGCAUGAGUGUUUGCCUGCGUGUGUAUAUGUGUACCACAUGCAUGCCUGGUGCCCAGGAAGGCCAGAGAGUCAUCAGAUCCCUUACACAUGUUUAGGAGCCACUGUGUGAGUGCUGAGAACUAAACCUAGGUUGUCUGCAAGACCAACUAGUGCUCUCAACUGCUGAGCCAUCUCUCUCUCUCUCUCUCUCUCUCUCUCUCUCUCUCUCUCUCUCUCUCCCCCCCCUCUCUCUCCCUCCCUCCCUCCCUCCCUCCCUCUCUCUCUCUCUCCCCCUCUCUCUCUCUCUCUCUCCCCCUCUCUCUCUCUCUCUCUCUCUGCAUAUCCCCACAUCUUUCUUAAAGGUGUUUAAUCUUUUGUUAGUUUCUAGAGAUUUAAAUAAGGGACACCGGCUUUCAUCACUGCCUAGUCAUGAAUACUAGAAGAAAAUAAAUAAAAAUAUGUGAGCAUGCCACUUGAAUUCAGAUUUUUUUUUAAAGAUUUAUUUAUUAUAUGUAAGAACAUUGUAGCUGUCCUCAGACACUCCAGAAGAGGGCAUCAGAUUUCGUUACGGAUGGUUGUGAGCCACCAGCCCAGAAUUUUUCUAUUUUAAGUAAUAUGUUCCGUUUUAGUUCCAUCAAACUAUAUAUAUCCUACUAUAAUCUAUUUUUAAAACAUCUGAAUUUGGGCUGGCAAGAUGGCUCAGUGGUUAAGAGCACUCAUUGACUGCUCUUCCAAAGGUCCCGAGUUCAAAUCCCAGCAACCACAUAGUGGCUCACAACCAUCUGUAAUGAGAUCUGACACCCUCUUCUGGUGCUGUCUGAAGACAGCUACAGGGACUGAGGGAAGCAGGGUGGACCAGAGCGAGCAGAGGUCCUAAAUUCAAUUCCCAACAACCAGAUGAAGGCUCAGAACAAUCUGUACAACUACAAUAUGUACUCAUAUACAUAAAUAAAUCUUUAAAAAAAGAGAAAUUCUAAUAAGUCUUCUAGCCAGAACAGAUAUUGGAAGAAUAUAAGUAAAUAGUUUGUUUUAUAUUUGUUCUUACACAGUUAACCCUACCAAUGUGUCAUGAGGCUUCUUUGGCCCCUGUUUCCAAUUUAUGAAUGGUAAUUCUGGUUCUUAAGGAAGAAAGGAUACACCUGGUAAAUGAAAACUUGUAAAGUUAAGAUCAUUUCUGUGACACAAACUAUCUUCAGUUUUAAAGGGAUUUUCAGAGCUGCAUGCUUCAUUGUGCCGCGGUGGAAUUUGGGAGGGUGUUGUUUAUCCAAGUUUCUUCAGGUGUAAGGAUGGUUUUAAGCAACAGAGUUUAGCCAGGCAGUGGUGAUGCACAUCUUUAAUCCCAGCACUCAGGAGGCAGAGAGACAGGUGAACCUCUUGAAUUCAAGGCCAGCCUGGUCUCCAGAUUGAGCUCCAGGACAGCCAGUAAGUGUUGGAUGCAGAGAUUCUUGGCUGUUCAAAACAGUGCAUGUUGAGCUUUAACCAGAUCACUUUUACUAUCCCCUAGAAGGCUUAGGGAAUAUCAUGGGAAAUCGGAUAGAAAGACUAAGAGGAGAGAGAGAAGGCUGCAGAGUGCUCUCUUCUGUGCAUGCGGGAGGAGGUCAUAGCAGUCAUGAAUCCCAGCAGCCCGUUGCUUUCAUUGGACAUACCCAAGAGCGGGCCUGGAAAGAGUCACAGAUGGUGGAAGAUCAGGGCCCACUCUUCCCUGCUGAAUGCUUCUGGAGAAGGGAAGUCCUCAUCUUCAGAUGCGUGCACAGGUGAGCCCACCCGGAUGCUCAGAGACCACCUGGUUAAGCUUGGUGGGUCACAAAACAAAGGCUGGAAGGGAGCCGGUGGGGAGGAUUGACAGGAGUGGGCAGGUGAGGAGAGGGUGGAGCCUAGAGUGAUCAGUGUGUUGUGUGGAUGAAGUUGUUGAGGACAAAUUUAGUUAUCAAAAGGUGAGGUACAACAAUCCCCAGCAGCUCUAGACUACCAUCUCUCCUGUUCUCUGGAUAAGGAAACUGAAUCUUUGCAAAAUUAAGAAACUAUGGUGUGUAUAUGGCAGAUCCAAGAUCAGAGUGCAGGUAAUUAUCCCAGGGUAUUUUAAUUUUGGUUUGGUUUGGUUUUGGUUUUGGUUUUGGUUUUGGUUUUGGUUUUGGUUUUGGUUUUGGUUUUGGUUUUUCGAGACAGGAUUUCUCUGUAUAGCGCUGGCUGUCCUGGAACUCACUCUGUAGAUCAGGCUGGCCUCGAACUCAGAAAUCCUUCUGCCUCCUGAGUGCCUUCUUUUUACUUUUAUAUGUCCCUUGUUCCUUUACGUUUGUUCCUUACAUGGUUGGUGUAUAAGAGGGCAGUUGACUUAGUGAGUGUGUUUUUGUUUAUCCUUUGAGAAUCUUAUCCGUGCAGAGGAUGGGUCUUGAUCACAUUCACUCUAGUCCUGUCUCCGAUUCCAAUUUCAUGUCUAUCUUCCAGUCCUUUGUUUUCUCUCCCAGUUUCCUUUCGCCACUUCUGGUGAGUCCAGUUAGUACUGCUCACAUGCUCAUGGGUAUAGGGCCAUCUACUGUUGCACCUACAGGGCACACCCUGGAAGAAAACUGACUCCUUCCCUAGCAGCCUGUGGUUCUUCAGCUCUGGUGGGACUGUGAGCACACCAACACCACUCACCUGGUCUGUGCUGCCUGCCGUGCUGGCUGCUGUGAUUGUGCGUGUCGAUACACACAGCCACAGCCGCUGUGCGCUCUGCAGUCUAGUGGCCCUGCCGUGUCUGGAUCAUACUGUUAGCGGCAGUGCUCCCUGACUUCAGGAUCCUAGCCGUCUUUCUGCUCCUUGAGCACUGGGGCAGGCGGCGUGUUAAAGAAUGUCUCGUUUAUGCUUGGGGAUUCCAGACAGUUGUAGACAUAGUUGUAAGGCUAUCCCUUGGAGCAUGAGUAACUAACUUGGCAGUAGCUACAUCAUCAAAGGCAGUGACUUUCUCCUUUCUAGUGGCCCUCAACUGCCUCAGCUCCCCUGGUCAGGAUGGGGCCCCGUGCGCCUCCCCCCCCCCCCUUGAUAGAUAGCUGGAUGUUUAUUCCCAGUCUUGUUCUGGCCCUUUGCAGGCAGCUGCAGUUAUUGUGAGUUCAUGAGAGCUCUGGCCAUGUUGGUCUCUGAGACAGUUUUUCAUGGCAUUUCUCUGCAGUCAUCCAGCUCUUCAGUUCUUUCCACCCCUUCUUGGGUGCUCCCUGACCCAGGCUAAGCUGUCAGCACAUUCUUGUUCUCAGCACCUUGAUCAGCUAUGGUUCUCCCAAUUAGCUGCCCUCACCGUAAAGAGUCACUGCCAAGCUUGAGGUAUGUCAUAUCCAUUUAAUAAAAUAAGAGUAGUUGGUUCAUUACCUCCCUGAUCGUGGAAUUUUGUCCAAAUUUAUAGUAAUAGACAGAGCCUUUCUUCCUCCUGCAAGUGGACCUCAGUUCAAACCAAGUCAAUUGGUGGUUUCUGUAGCAGCCAUGCUGCUUUUGCACCAGGAAACACCCGAGCCUGUAAGUCGGUAAUGUGUGUGUGUGGUGCAAAACUAAUAGUGAUCAUUGUUUUAAGUUUUUUCCUCCCAUCUGUCUGCAUAGCAGUUUGAGGCACUGUGAAGACCAGCCUGCAGGGGGAAGGAAGCUUUCCACUCUGUUCUGGCCUGGCUCGUCUAUCACUGCAACCAAGGUGUGUAGUGGCUUUAGCAGGGGGGUCUUAUCAUUCCACUCUUUGGGGCAGCAGAGGGAAGCAGCCAUAACCUGGGUAGUUUUGAGGGUCUCUGUGGCUUUGCUAGCCAACAACACCAGGAGCUGCCCACUACCUGGUACUAAGAUUUUCACUCAAAACCCAGAGCUUUGGGGUUGGCAUUAUCCACCCAUGGAUGUAUCUGUUCUGUCUUUUUUAAAGUUUUUUGGUUUUGUUUUUAAUUAUACAGUAGUGAGCUUCCUUAGUUUUUGCUAACUUCUCCCCUGUAUCCCAUUUUCACCUUUCACCAUUCCUGUUAAAACUUGCAACACCAAAUUACAUGUCACCUGUGCUCACCAUUCCUGCUUCCAAGGCCUUUUGCCUGCAUCCACUAUGCCCCAAGUUAAAUCUGAAAAUUCCAAGCUAUGAUCUGCAGUUGAGAGAAACCAUGUGGCGGUAUUUGACGUUCUGGGCCUGGCUAGAUUACCUCACUCCGUACAGUAUUUUCCAGUUCCAUUCAUUUGCCUUCAAGUUUUAUUUCAUUUUUCUUUAUAGCCUGAGUAUACAUAUUUUCCCCUUAUGUAUGUGUACCAGUGUUGCAUUAUCCAGUCAUUAGUUGCUGGACAUGGAGGCUGGUUCGGUUUUCUAGCUGUUGUAAAUGAAUAGAGCUUUGUUGGUGUCAAAACCUAUUGUCAGGUUUUUUGGCGGUCUUGUUACAGAAUUGAGGUAGUUUCCAUCUGUCCUUGUUUAUUGAGCAUUUUUAGAAUUAGUAAUGGGAAUGAAAUUUCAUUUAAUGGUUUUUCUUUGGCCUUUUUGGUGGACUGUUAGUUGACUUUUGAAUAAUAAAGGCAGCCAAGUAUACAUGGGCUAAAUAACAUUUGGUUAUGUUUUUCUUUCUGCAUUGUUAGAUUUGAGUUGUUGUUCUAUAGAUGAUUUUAUACCUGAGUUCAUUGCAGCCGAUGAUGUAUGAUUCUUUUAAUAGUUUGUUUGGCUUUGAUAUUAAGGGUAAUGCUGGUCUGAAAGGAUAAGUUAUCCUUCGAUCUUCUGGAGGAUAGUGUAGACAGUUAAAUUCUUCAAAUUUUUAGUAAAAUUUACCAAUAAACUCACCUGGGCCUGGUGUUUUCUGGUUUUGGUAGUUAUUAAUUAUUAAGUUUCUUAAUAGAUUUAGUUAAUAGUAAGAAAAAUGAGUUGGGUUUUAUUUUCACAUUCCUCUUCUGAUGUGCUUCAUUUCUUUAUCUAGUUCCAAGUUUCUUUCCUGAGUCAUUUUUCUUCUCUCUAAAGGACUUUAAACAUUUCAUGCAAGUCAUUUCCAUUGGACAGAAAUUCUCCCAAUUUCUACUUUCCUGAGAAAGUAUGAACUCACUCACUCACUCACUCACUCACUCACUCACUCACUCACUCACUCACUCAUUCAUUGGGUCUGGCUGUUUAGCUUAAGGUCUCAGUAAGCUGUCCAAGCUGACUUUGAGCUCACUAAGGCAGGCCGUGAACUUAAUCAUUUUGCCUCAGCUUUCUGAGUGGUUGGAACUUAGAACUGGGCCAUUAGACCUCACUAACAAGUGACUACUGAUAUCUCCAGUUUUAUGGCUAACAGGUUGCCCUGUGACAUUGUUUCUGUUAUGGCUGGAAGAAGAGUUAAUUUGUUUGAUUGUUUAACAAAGUAAUAAUCACAAUUUCUCGUAGCUCAGACUAAAAGCAGUUUUGUUUUGUUUUGUUUUGUUUUGUUUUGUUGUUUUUUGAGACAGGGUUUCUCUGUGUAACCUUGGCUGUCCAGGAACUCACUCUGUAGACCAGGUUGGCCUUGAACUCAGAAAUCCGCCUGCCUCUGCCUCUGAAGUGCUAGGAUUAAAGGCGUGAGUCACCACUGCCUGGCCCUGAAAGCAGAUUUUUGAUAGUAUUUAAUAUCACCCAUCAAUAUAUUUUGUUUUGGUUUGUAAAAUAUAUUUUAAAGUAAAAUAUUUUUUGUAUUUAUAUUCCCCUAUAAUAUAUAAAAAAUUUCAAAGUUGAGAAAAUUGUAUUGUCAGUACUCAUACUCAUUACUUCGUCCUACUGCUUAUAGAGUCGAUAUGGUCCUCCUGUUUCUAUAGUAUACAGAGUCCUGUUUAUAUAGUCGGUGUUUGCUUUGCUUUCUUUACUUGUCAUUCUUUUUUUUUUUUUUCUUAAAUUAGUUUUUGUAAUAGAGAUCCCAGACCUGAGCACAACCAUAAUGUAAAGUUAAAACUUGGUAUAAGGAUGGGGCUGGAGAGAUGGCUCAGCAGUUAAGAGCACCCGCUGCUCUUCCAGAGGUCCUGAGUUUUCAGUUCCCAGCAACCACAUAGUGGCUUAUCACUCACUAUCUGUAAUUGGAUCUCAUGACUUCUGAUAUAUUGAAGGUAGUGAUAGUAUACCCAUAUACAUUAAAUAAAUAAUAAUUAAAAGAACUUGAUAAAGAUAAGCAAUUUCAACUAUAGUCUGAUUCCAUUUUUAUGUGCUAUUUCUUUUAAAAAGAGAAAAAUUCCUCUAGGCAUAGUUUCCCUAUGUGGCUGGAACACACUCUGAACUUGUUAGCCUGACUCUGGCUCCUGCAUGUUGGGUGUGUGCUGCCAUGCUCAGGAAGGAGUCUGUCAUGUAGAAAUAACAGGAGCUAACCACACUAAAAGAAAGUGAUUGGUCUGUCUGAUUCUGAAUUUUGACUUUUUAAAUCCUCAAAUACAUUUUUUUUCUGCUUUCUCUGUAUUGUUAGUAUUUGAUACCCAUACUUAAAGUCCUCUUUAUUUUUAUAAACUCAUUAUAUAAACUGAUUUUUCAACAAAUACUUUAUUUGGAAGUCAUAUGGGGUUAUUUCUUCUUAAAACAGACAAAUGAAAAACUAGACGUCCUGUAGACUAGGAUAUGUGAGCUGGAGAAUGGGUCUCCCCCUUCCCUUUCUUUCAUGAAUCAACUAUUUUAGAUUUGUAUUUCCAGGUUGGUAAUGGCUUAUGGCUAAAGGAUCAUUCAUGUCUUAGGUAAAGAUGGUAGAAGUGUUCCUCUGAACCCAGACCUUACAGGAAUAGACUAUAAGGAAUUUUCUAAGUAUACAUCAAGAGCCUUUGUUAUGGAAUGAGCAUAUAUUUAAUAAGGCCAGGAAUAAUUGUCAAAAUUUCAGGAAACAAGUGGGCAAUUGCUGUUACAAAAGAAUGUCCUGCCUUGCUCAUUGUCCAUAUUUAGAUCAGCUGAUCAGCUGAUGGUGAGACUCAGAAGCACUUGCCACACAGGUGCAGUGCUCCUCCACACAGGUGCAGUGCUCCUCCACACAGGUGCAGUGCUCCUCCACACAGGUGCAGUGUUCCUCCACACAGGUGCAGUGCUCCUCAGCUGUUGGAGACAUUCCCUCCUCCCGCUCCCUCCUCUUCCGUAGAAUCAGGCUGUUUAAUCCACUAAUGUUAGAGGUGGAUUUGCACAUUUGAGUGUAUAUAUGUAUAUGUGUGUGUGUGUGUGUGUGUGUGCGUGUGUGUGUAUGUGUGUAUAUAUAUAUAUAUUUGGUAAUUUACAUAGUUGCAUUUUACUGCUUAGAUGACUUGAAUUUUUCUUAGGACCUAGUUUAAGGUCAUAGAGUGGUGUGGGUUUUGUCGUGUGUGUGUGUGUGUGUGUGUUUUCUUUUGGCUUUUCAAGACAGGGUUUCUCCAUGUAGCCCUGGCUAGCUUCAAACUCAGAGCCCCCUUUGUCUGCCUCCUGAGUGCUAGGAUUAAAGGUGGGCACUGCCAUGCCCGGGCUAGUUCACAGAGCUUUAGAACUGAAAAAGGCUGCUCUUGAAAGCCCCCGUCUAGAGGGAGAGUUUGACCUGUAAAAUGAACCGAGAGGAGGGCUUAUCUUUAUUCUUAACUCCUGUAACUAAGCGGACAAGAGGCCUAGAGCUGAUACUUGUUUGCGAAUGUGUUGCUUUGCAAGAUAAAGCUACGUGGUCGUCACAGCACUAAACUGAGGAGUUAUAGGUUCUAGGAACUCAGAAAAGCAGUCUUGAGAGCUGGUGCUUUUGAGCUGAGCAGGAUAGUCCCGAGCCACACUACUCAUGCAUCUAUCUCCUUGUGUGUAGUUGAGAACUGGUUUUGAGAGGUUCUCCUUACCUAAGAACCUACAGUGUAUCUCCAGCAGCAGUCUUCUAGCCAUUUAUCUGUUGGUUUUGAUGUGUUCUAUUAUAAGGUGUUAAAGCUUAGUUACUCAACGUCUGAAAGUGCAAGGGAAAAAUGCUCUUUGGUUUUUAAGAAAUAGAAAAUACCUUAGUUUUUAUGGUUUUUAUAAUGAGAAAGUAUAUAGCCUUUGGAGUCAGACAUAAAUAGAUUUUAAUUUUGUUGGGAAUUCCAUUAACAAAAUUUAUGCACAUUUAUAUCAAGGAGGUAACUUAACUUUUUAUGGGUCAAUGUCUCACUCAGAACAAAAUGUAGUAAUAUAUUCUCUAAAAUAGUGGUGUUGUAUUAAUUGAGGCACUUUAAAAUGUGUGUCAACAAGCUAGCUCCCAGUACAGGAGUGCUGCAGCAAUUGCUGUCCCUUGAAAGGGCUGCACAGUGGUCAGGAGAUUGGACCUCUCUGAUAUCAGAGAGACGAGCCUUCAGCCUGUCUGUUCUUUAUGUCUUUAGCACCACACUUCUCCAGGUGUUGAGGGAAAGAAAGAAACACCUCCUAGUUACAUCAGACUGUCUGGUUGUGAAGGUACUAAGACUACUCAGGGUCAGAGACGAGGAGAGUCGUCGUGAGCUACAGAACUUCCACAUCCUUUGUGCUUGUAGCUGCAGACUUGACUCUCAGAGCGGAAAGAAAGCAGAGAACAUAGAGAAUGACAAUUACCAGGAGAAGCAAAUGUCUAGAAUUUUCCUGGGAGAAAUACAUUUCUGUGUACUGUGAUUUACUUUAGUUCAAGAUGCAUAGAAUAGAAAGAUAUGAGUGCAUCCUGUGACACUGAUUGAGAGAAGCAUUCGAUAGAUAUACAACUGCCGAUUUGUCUGGUCUUGUAAGUAGAUACUUAGUCACUAAAUGCUUAGGGCUCUUAGACUUUCUCCUUAUUACAAGUGCUGUUCUUUAAAAAUGUGAAGUGGAUAACUAACGCUUCUAGUUUUCUCAGGUUUCUACCUUGGAGUAAAAUAUGAAAAACAUGUUUAAGAUCCCACUUGCCGACUUCCUUAAUUGAUCUUACAGUCUCAGUCGCUUACUGCUUGCUGUCUGUUCCACUGUAGGGUAUUCUAACUGCACUGGCUUACUUCAUUCCAGGACUGACACACCAAACAUGUAACUACCUUCCAGCCUUUGUGUUCUUGGCUGGUCUUUCUGUGACUAACCUUCACAUUUUAGAGAGUCAUAUGGCAUGUUCUUCCAGGAGUCUAUUGAAAUGCUAUUGGCGGGGAGGGGUUUCUCUGAUUAUCUUACUAAAAAUAGCUUCUUUCACAAUCAAGCCCUAUUGUUUCCAUCUGAAAUACUGAGGCCUAUCUGGCAUGUAUGGAUUUUUAGCAUUAACUUGUUUAUUGUUUCUUUGAAUCUCUGUAGAAGAUAAGUGCCAGGAGGGCAGGGGUCUUGGGUUCCUCCAGCUGUCAGUGUGACAUCACAAACCUAGACAGAGUUGGGGAGAAGGACUCUCAGGGAAGAGUUGCCUCUAUAAGAGUGUCCUGUGGGCAUGUCUGCUGGGCCAGUUUCUUGAUCGCCCACUAGAACGGUGCCCUGAGGAGUGGGGUUGGGCUGUGUAUAGGAGAUGUAGUUUGAGUAAGCCUGUGAGCAGGAGUCCUUCAUGAUCUCUGCUUCAGGUCCUGCCUCCACAGCCUGGGGCUAAAGGAUGGACAGACAGAACCUGUAAGCCAGUAAAGCCUCCCCAGGCUGCUGUGGUCAGUCUCUUAUCACAGCUAUAGAAAGUAAACGAGGGCAAACACGUGUAGUCACUCGGUGCCCAGACUCGCGUUGCCCAGCGUGCAGCACCCAGUCUCUUCCCUGGCACUGUGGCCCCAUGGAGUCCUUUCAGCCAUCAGUGUAUUUGCUUAAGAGUAGCACAUACUUUAUAGUAUCCUGACUUAUAACCUGUUCAUAGUAAAUAUGUGCUUAGGAAAACAUAAUGGUUGGUAAAUGUUCAGGUUAAAAACUAGAAAAAGUUUAUAUUUGUUGAAAGCUUUGACAAAACUAAUUAUAUUUUUGAAAUUGGUAACGGAAGUUUA